GUCAUCAGCAAGUGUGGAGCCAAACAGAGUACGGUGCAUAGACUGUAUAUACAUUUUUUUUUCGUUAGUUUUCAUGGUCAAAAUGAGAGAUCAGGUGGCCGAUCUUAAAAUAAAUCAAUAUUGAUUUUUUUUUUUAUAGAGCGUUAAAGUUUUGCGAAGCCAGGAGGCGGGACUACUUGAUUGACAGUCCGGUCUGGAAUGAUUGACAGGUUCUAUGGAGGAGGCAGCAGAGACUCUGUUCUCCUCGUUUGGAUUAAUUCUGAUAUAAUAACUGUUGGUUUAUUUAUCGGUGGAGCAGCAGAACAUUUUCCACAGACAGUUUUCCUGCCCGUUGGCUUGUUUUAACCAGUUUUCUACCUUCGGCUGAUUCUACCAGCAGACACUGAAAGGACUCUGAUAGUUCGAGUGAAAGCAGCAGUUCCUCCUUAAGGUCAGAGAUUGCAGCAUCUGAGGGCCUCUUCAAAAGAAGACGUAGUUGAUGAAGGCGUUCUGGAGCAGGACCAGAAAGACCACGACCAAGCAGCCUUUAGAUCUUAGGCAGCGUCUCCCUCAGGUCCCUCUCUAUCUCCCCACACAUCCACCAACCACUGGAACACAUCUCCAAAGUUCUGCCAGGCCAGCUCAGCUUCCCCUCAGAAGAAGUGCUGCCACCUGCCAGAUGAAGGAGCCUUUUGAGAGGCAGCAGACAUCGUGAUUGGACUGCACUUUGGUCUGUUCCAAUCCAGCUUCAGCUCCAGAGACGGCAGGCGGGACGAGUCAACGGAGGCCUGGUGGACGAAGGCAUGCAGCUGAGUACAAUACAGAAAACAACAGAGGAGGAGUGCAGUGGCUCAGGGCCAGAACAAACACAGUAGCAUCGUAUGUCUCUUAGAAAACAUCAUAGUAUAGCCUUUGGUAUGAAAAAACGCCAUCAUAUACAUCAUAUAUUGUACAAAUAACAAGUCAAAGGAAAAAGACAUACAUUGUAGAGUUGUAGUAAUUGUGGGCCGAAUGAUUUACUGAUUAUCAGUAUUUUAUUUUUUACUGAUUUACGGUAAUAAAUACAUUUAAAAAUGGUGCUACUUUGGCUCUGAACCUUAAUCUACCUGUGGUCGCUCUGUCUUCUGGAGUGAUUUGAUUGGUUAUACGUCACGAAUAAAACUCCUUUAACUUAACAUCUCUAAACAAAACAAAAACGUAUCAACAAAGUUUUCUGUUAAAGUUUGUGUUCUUGUAAGUUUAACUCCAAGAUUUUAAAUACUUUCAUUUACUGCAAAUGAAUAUCUACUCCAAAUGUCUCACUAAUAAUCAUUAUCAGCCUUAAAAACCCACAAAACACCCCUCUAUACUCGACCACACUUAGUACAGUCCGGUUCCCCCUUCUAUAAAUCUGCUUGGAAUCUUCCACUUCCUGUUUGUCAAAGUGGCCUUCUACCUGGACAGGUUUUGUUGGAGCUCAUGCUACAAACAUUUUGGGUAACUGCACUUUAAUAUGGCUGGAUGACACUGAAUUAGAUUCUGUUUUCAUGAGACUGAGUUAAGAUGUGUAGCUCUGUCAUUAAAUAGUAAAUUAUUCCUCAGAAUUCACAGAGAAAAGUCUGAAAUGUUUGCUAGGUUAGCAUCCCACAUGUUCUUUGGCUCAGCUAAAGCUAACUCUCUCCAACUUCUGGAUCUCUUGAGUUGCUUGUUGUUAAAAUAUCUUGCUAGAGGUGCUGAAGCUCAGAAAGUCUGAGAUGUUUGUUCAAAAUAAGCUCAUUCUCAAGUCUGAUCUGAACUGUCCUCUUUUGUUUGAACUUUCCCUAAAUUUAGGAGUUAAUGACAGAGCAGCACAUCCAGACUCAGUCUCAUUUAUGUAGAGAUUAAACUUCAGUGUCAUUCAUUGAUGUUAAAGUGCAGUUUUUCAAAUGUUUGUUGCACAUGCUCCCAGCCAAACCAGUCCAGGUGGAAGAUGAUGUGAAGAGAAAGCUCCAGAGGAUGAAUAUCACACAUUUACAUUGGAAAUAAAUGUCCUUUAAUUAGACAUUGUCAUGCAAAUGAUGUUAAAAUCUUUGAGUGUUUUGUUGAUGUUUGUUUCUAAAUGUUUUUUGACACUCGGCCCCAAAGAUUAAAACCUUCUACGGCUCACAAGCUGCAACAAUUCACACAUUAUCAACUAUCUUUCUGACUAAACUAAGAUGAAAAGUGAAAAACUGCCUGAUUCCUGCAUCAUGAAUGUAAAUCUUUUUGGGUUUUAUGACAGU